rnacentral:tRNA from 1 species
GGGGUUGUAGCUCAGUGGUAGAGCACUUGCCUAGCAUGUAUGAGGCACUGGGUUCAAUUCUCAGCACCA